AACGAACGCUGGCGGCAUGCCUAACACAUGCAAGUCGAACGAGACCUUCGGGUCUAGUGGCGCACGGGUGCGUAACGCGUGGGAAACUGCCCUUAGGUUCGGAAUAACUCCCCGAAAGGGGUGCUAAUACCGGAUAAUGUCUUCGGACCAAAGAUUUAUCGCCUUUGGAUGGGCCCGCGUUGGAUUAGCUAGUUGGUAGGGUAAAAGCCUACAAAGGCUACGAUCCAUAGCUGGUCUGGGAGGAUGAUCAGCCAUACUGGGACUGGGACACGGCCCGAAUUCUGCGGGAAGGGGGCAGGGGGGAUACUGGAACACCGGGGGAAGGCUGAACCCCUCAUGACGGGUUAGGGAUUUAAGUCUUAAGGUUGGAAAGCUCUUUUACCCGGGAUGAUAAUGACAGUACCGGGAGAAUAAGCUCCGGCUAACUCCGUG
rnacentral:rRNA from 1 species